GUCGUUGUAGUAUAGUGGUAAGUAUUUCCGUCUGUCACGCGGACGACCCAAGUUUGAUCCCUGGCAACGGUG
rfam:Prunus persica cultivar Lovell chromosome G3, whole genome shotgun sequence.